GAACUUUUAGUUUAAUUUAGAAUGCCUUAUUUACAAUUGGGUGGUUUAAAGUUCUGU
rnacentral:tRNA from 1 species